CUGGUCACUAAUCAUUUCUUUUUGUUAAACCUCCGUUUCUUACCUCUUGUUUAGAUUUCCUUGAAGUUACCCAGACGCUGGACUUCCUGAACAGCCUUUCUGAUGGAUUUUCUGCAGUUGCGUAAAUCUUGGUAACAUGGAAGACUUUGAAGAACUGAAGCCAAUUCAUCUUGUGUCAAGAUGGCUGGAAACUCCCAGCAAAUCGAGGGUGAUGGGAAGAUUGAGGUUAUUCUCAGCUUUGGUCAAGGAUAGUACCAGG
rnacentral:lncRNA from 1 species